AUUGAACGCUGGCGGCAGGCCUAACACAUGCAAGUCGAGCGGAUGAAGGGAGCUUGCUCCUGGAUUCAGCGGCGGACGGGUGAGUAAUGCCUAGGAAUCUGCCUGGUAGUGGGGGAUAACGUCCGGAAACGGGCGCUAAUACCGCAUACGUCCUGAGGGAGAAAGUGGGGGAUCUUCGGACCUCACGCUAUCAGAUGAGCCUAGGUCGGAUUAGCUAGUUGGUGGGGUAAAGGCCUACCAAGGCGACGAUCCGUAACUGGUCUGAGAGGAUGAUCAGUCACACUGGAACUGAGGCACGGUCCAGGCUCCUACGGGGAGCAGCAGUGGGGAAUUUUGGACAAUGGGCGAAAGCCUGAUCCAGCCAUGGCGCGUGUGUUAAGAAGGGCUUCGGAUUUUAAAGCACUUUAAGGUGGGAGGAAGGGCAGUAAGUUAAUACCUUGCUGUUUUGACGUUACCAACAGAAUAAGCACCGGCUAACUUCGUG
rnacentral:rRNA from 1 species